GCUGGGUACAGGGGUGCACACCUGUAAUUCAAGUCACUCAGGAGGCUGAGGCAGGAGGAUCGCAGUUUUGAGGCCAGCCUCAGCAACUUAGCAAGUCCCUGUCUCAA
rnacentral:sRNA from 1 species